UACUUGGACACUCCGUGAUAUUUUUGAUUGCCCAGGAAUUUGUAUGGUGUAGGAUUACCAAGGUCUCUCGGAUCCAGGUUCAAAAGGCUCACGAUCUAGCAACACAUGUCAGGAAGGGCCAUCUACCGUUACUACGUAUUUAAUUGCUUUUCUUUCUUAAUGUACGUUUUACUGAUGUCCAAAAAAAAAAAAAAAAAAAAAAAAAAAAAAAAAAAAAAAAAAACUUCUAACUCAAAAUGGAUUUCUUGCACAUAAUCAAACUCAUUUUCAAACUAAAUUCAUUAAUCAAACCAAAUCACCCAAUAACCCAUUUUUCUCAUUCAAUUUCAUCAAUCUAAUUGGGUAAAAUUUGAGCUCAACCAUGGCUAUAAAUAGCCAUGUUCAUCUCCUCAAACCACCCCUCACCAUUCACUACUUCACUCACCGAAAAAUUGAUCCAAUUUCUGCCGGAAAAACACCUCCAAAACCACCCCAAAACCUCUUCUAUUUUCGCCCCAUACCACCUCUCUCUCUCUCUCUUUCCUGUUUCGAACCAAAACCCCUGCCCGCCACCCUCGUAGGACGCAGCGCCGCCGCAUUCAGCCACACCAGACCAUCACCGCUCCCCUACACGCACCACCUCAUCGCCAGCUUCGCCCUCACUCGCUCGCCCCUUCUUUCUCUUUAUUCUCUCUCUCGCUCCCCACCUUUGUCGUCUUCAAGCUGCAGCCACUGUUGCACCAGACGUCGUUGUUUGACGGAAGCCGACGAACACCAUCGUGCCGCUGCUGUCGGAGCCCUGACCCCACCGCCGGCCAUUCUCCCUCCUCUGCCCUGUUUUCGUGCCUGCUCAAAUGAGCAGAGAUUAAAAGGAAAGGAUAUUACAGCCUCCCCCGACUUUCAAGGUUAUUAAGCAGGAAUCCAGGUAACAUCUAUUGCUAACACCCACGAUCCCCUUCGAAAUGUGUUUAUGAAAUGAUGUUUAUAAUUAUGUUAAAGGAUUUUGCAAUGUGAUUCUUAUAUGGAUUGUGGGAUUAAAUUGCCUUCGAAUGAUUUUCGUAAAUGAUGAUCUUAUUAUGAGUCAUUGAUGCUCAAGUAUGAUUCAUGAAAGAUCUAUGGCUUAUGCCGAUGAAUGCAAAAGAAACGAAACAUGAUAAAUAAAAGUGAAAGAGGUUCUGACAAUAUAAUGUUACGCUUAUCUACUUUAUGGUUGUGCACGUACCUUCGCACCCGUCGUACACCCGAAAAGCGAAUCGGGCUCCUUGAGGGGUACUGCAUGCUAUGUUGGUGCGAGCGGUGUAUCCAAAUAGGGAGCGGGGCUCCUUGAGGAUCAGCGCAUGGUGGUGUAUCCGAAAAGGGAGCUGGGCACCUUGAGGAUCAUCGCAUGGUGGUGUACCCAAAAAGGGAGCUGGGCUCCUUGAGGGUCAUCAUAUGGUGGGAGACGUCCCACAUGUCUAUACUCGCCAGUUACCAAGCUAAAAGAUGAAAAGAUAAUGGGAACUUUUGAGGUAUGAGCAUAGCCAUUGCAAGAGCGUUGUUAAUAAGGAACGUGUUCAAGGAAAAUUGUGCAUUAUCUUGUGUUAGAGAAAUUAUUAUUAUUAUUUGAGUCAAGUAUUUAUGUAUAAUUAUUAAGGACUAUUUAAGGUUGCAUUGUAUUGGUGGGCCAUA